UACGGGGGGAGCAAGCGUUGUUCGGAAUUACUGGGCGUAAAGGGCGCGUAGGCGGCCCUCUCAGUCAGACGUGAAAUCCCCCAGGCUUAACCUGGGAACUGCAUUCGAGACUGCAUUGCUAGAGUAUGGGAGAGGGAAGUGGAAUUUCCGGUGUAGCGGUGAAAUGCGUAGAUAUCGGAAGGAACAUCAGUGGCGAAAGCGACUUCCUGGACCAAUACUGACGCUCAUGUGCGAAAGCGUGGGGAGCAAACAGG
rnacentral:rRNA from 1 species